rnacentral:rRNA from 1 species
UACGUAGGGUGCGAGCGUUGUCCGGAAUUAUUGGGCGUAAAGAGCUCGUAGGCGGUUUGUCGCGUCUGCUGUGAAAACUCGAGGCUCAACCUCGGGCUUGCAGUGGGUACGGGCAGACUAGAGUGCGGUAGGGGUGACUGGAAUUCCUGGUGUAGCGGUGGAAUGCGCAGAUAUCAGGAGGAACACCGGUGGCGAAGGCGGGUCUCUGGGCCGAUACUGACGCUGAGGAGCGAAAGCGUGGGGAGCGAACAGG